rnacentral:lncRNA from 1 species
CAGAGUCACAGAGCUGACAGACAAUGGGAGCCCCUGGAGCACGUGUGUGAACUAGGUGCCACGUGGAGACUUUUUCAGGCACUGUCUCAUUUAGUCCUUGGUUACUUCUCUCAGCCUCCUCCUCCUUUCCCACUUGGAAUUCAGAUGAGCUCAGAAACCAUCUACAGGGCUGUGAUGAGGCUUAAAGGAGUUGCCAGGUGGGAGCGUGCCAGCAGGGAGAGUGCAGUGAGCGCUUGGUAAAGGACACAUCACCCCAACCCUGGAGGGGGGCACAGAGAGAGAAGGUGCAGAACCUGCAGUGCCAUCUACAGCGCAGACUGCAGGUUCCUCAGGCUGCGGGUGAAGUGGUUCACAGCAGGCCCCAGCACCCCGCUGCAGUUCCACCUGGCCCUGCUCCCAACCACGGCACCCCCUCCAGGCGGACCGGUCCUCUUGGAGACUGCUGACAACAAGCACACUUCUGCCUCUCCCUCAAGCCUGCUGAAACCAUCUGCUGCACGGGAAUGUCCUCCCUCCUUCUGUCUAGUCCCAGAUCACACCUUGUGCAAAGCCCACCUCCAGGGCCACCUCUCCCCUCCCUUGAAGAUCUAGCUUUUACUGUCCAUCAUUCACUUUGCAUUUUAAAAUAUACUGCUUGGUAGCAUCUCUUUCAUAUAUCAACCUAUAAUCUGAAAGGUACUUUAAAAAAAAAAAGACGAGGAAAAAGGAAAGGCCAACAUCAGUAACCUAAGACGGGCAGGAGCUAUUCUCCCCACUUCUGGCUCUCAUUUGGAGAAAGAAUAAAGAAACUCAAAAAAAAAAAAAAAAAAAAAAAAAAGAUAGUCUGAGAUGGGACUUAACAUUAGGACAGCUAAGAGGUAGACAGGUAUAUGUGAAAAGCAUUGUUGCAUGGAGACUGGACAAAGUCAAGAAAUGGCCAACAUCAAAGUUGGCAUGUGUCUCUAAUUCCCUAAACUUGCAGAGAUAAGCACAUGCUAACAAGAUCUGGAAUUUCGAAUUAACAGACAUAAACUACCAUAUAUAAAAUGGGUAAAU